UACUACGUCGUUUAUGAUAAGUCUGGAGCUCUUUCCACCAUCCCUGAGGUGCCGGAGAUUGAUUUUGGCGGAUUCUCACCGGAGAUUAAUUCCUUGGUGAGGAGAACUGGGUCGGAGAGGUUCACGGCCAGUUCAAUGAUGGGUAUUUCAUGUGCCUAAUAAUGGUCUAUAUAGAUCAUAUGAACAUAGUUUUUGUAUAAUUAUAGAUUAGGAAUAAUAUAUUUUUGUUUCCCUUGUUAUGUUUUUGUUGUAUAUAUCUGUCUAUCUAUCUAUGAUACUAAUUUCUUUUUUUUUUUUUUUUUUAAAAAAAAUUUUUUUUUUCUCCUUAAAAAAAAAAACCCCAAAUAGCUCUAACCUAUCACCCAUUUUUACCGAUCAUUAUUCAAAUAAACCAUGAAAGUGGGUCAAAU
rnacentral:misc_RNA from 1 species